rnacentral:rRNA from 1 species
AGUGAACGCUGGCGGUAGGCCUAACACAUGCAAGUCGAACGGCAGCACAGUAAGAGCUUGCUCUUACGGGUGGCGAGUGGCGGACGGGUGAGGAAUACAUCGGAAUCUACUUUUUCGUGGGGGAUAACGUAGGGAAACUUACGCUAAUACCGCAUACGACCUACGGGUGAAAGCAGGGGAUCUUCGGACCUUGCGCGAUUGAAUGAGCCGAUGUCGGAUUAGCUAGUUGGCGGGGUAAAGGCCCACCAAGGCGACGAUCCGUAGCUGGUCUGAGAGGAUGAUCGGCCACACUGGAACUGAGACACGGUCCAGACGCCUACGGGAGGCAGCAGUAGGGAAUAUUCGACAAUGGGCGCAAGCAUGACGGAGCCAGCCCGCGUGGGGGAAGAAGGCCUUCGGAUUGUAAACCCUUUUUAGUAGGAAAGAACAGAUGCAGACGUAUACCUGCACGUCGUGACGGUACCUAAUGAGUAAGAAACGGCUAACUUCGUG